rnacentral:rRNA from 1 species
UACAGAGGGUGCAAGCGUUAAUCGGAAUUACUGGGCGUAAAGCGCGCGUAGGUGGUUCGUUAAGUUGGAUGUGAAAUCCCCGGGCUCAACCUGGGAACUGCAUUCAAAACUGUCGAGCUAGAGUAUGGUAGAGGGUGGUGGAAUUUCCUGUGUAGCGGUGAAAUGCGUAGAUAUAGGAAGGAACACCAGUGGCGAAGGCGACCACCUGGACUGAUACUGACACUGAGGUGCGAAAGCGUGGGGAUCAAACAGG